rnacentral:rRNA from 1 species
ACGGGUGAGUAACGCGUGGGAAUCUACCCAUCUCUACGGAACAACUCCGGGAAACUGGAGCUAAUACCGUAUACGUCCUUCGGGAGAAAGAUUUAUCGGAGAUGGAUGAGCCCGCGUUGGAUUAGCUAGUUGGUGGGGUAAUGGCCUACCAAGGCGACGAUCCAUAGCUGGUCUGAGAGGAUGAUCAGCCACACUGGGACUGAGACACGGCCCAGACUCCUACGGGAGGCAGCAGUGGGGAAUAUUGGACAAUGGGCGCAAGCCUGAUCCAGCCAUGCCGCGUGAGUGAUGAAGGCCCUAGGGUUGUAAAGCUCUUUCAACGGUGAAGAUAAUGACGGUAACCGUAGAAGGAGCCCCGGCUAACUUCGUGCCAGCAGCCGCGGUAAUACGAAGGGGGCUAGCGUUGUUCGGAAUUACUGGGCGUAAAGCGCACGUAGGCGGAUACUUAAGUCAGGGGUGAAAUCCCGGGGCUCAACCCCGGAACUGCCUUUGAUACUGGGUAUCUCGAGUCCGGAAGAGGUGAGUGGAAUUCCGAGUGUAGAGGUGAAAUUCGUAGA